UUUCCUACAAUAUAGUAUUUAUAUAGGUAUUUAUGUAGGCUCUUCUAUAAUCAUUUAUUGUGUAUUUUUUAAGAGAAAGGUAUUUUUUAGAAUUAUUAGGUUCGAGAAUUAUCUAGACUUGGUGGUUCAGGAGUAGCACAAAGUACAAAGAAAGUGCUUUAUAAGGUUCUGGGCAAUGAAAUUGCACAAAAAUAUUCUUGGGAUGGGGCCGAACAGAAGAGAAGUUUGAAAUCAUUGUUAGUGGCCAAAAGCAAUUUUAGACUCCAUGAAAGGUCAAUUUCAAGAGUCAAAAGAAACCGAAAUUAUCAAUAUAAUUAAAAUAUGGCUUGUAAA
rnacentral:lncRNA from 1 species